GACAGAGGGUGCAAACGUUGUUCGGAAUUACUGGGCGUAAAGCGUGCGCAGGCGGUUUUGUAAGUCUGUCGUGAAAUCCCCGGGCUCAACCUGGGAAUUGCGAUGGAGACUGCAAGGCUAGAAUCUGGCAGAGGGGGGUAGAAUUCCACGUGUGAGCAGUGAAAUGCGUAGAGAUGUGGAGGAACACCGAUGGCGAAGGCAGCCCCCUGGGUCAAGAUUGACGCUCAUGCACGAAAGCGUGGGGAGCAAACAGG
rnacentral:rRNA from 1 species